CUGGCCUGAUUGAUUUCUCUUCUUGUCUGCCCUAGUCUUUUACUUAACAGGCUUCUUUCUUGGGCCAAAGCUUUUUUGGGCCAUAACUGAAGAACUACUCCUAGAAUUUGUAGGCCACGACUAGGGCCGUGGCCCUACUGGCCCUAGGCCUGGGCCCGCCCCUGUUAGCAGCACUAGUUGGGAGGUGCUUUUGAAGUCGUUGCCAGGCUGUGCCCACAUACUCUAUGAGUUGCUUUCUAUUGUCAAAGACAAUGUGCAAGAAAAUAAAAACACUAUCUCCAAUUGCUAGUGGGGUGGUGAAAGUCCUAGUUUCGUUUUGGAUAAUUGAUGAAACCUAAAGUAUUAACCUUUAUGUUAAGUGUGUGGAUUAGAUGAGGUUGGUACAUGCUAAGUGAUAGAGCAAGAGAUGAUCAUGAUAAGGAUGGUGAUGACCACAAGAUGAUCAAGUGCUCAACUUGAAAAAAGAAGAAAGAGAAAAAUAAAACCC
rnacentral:lncRNA from 1 species